UACGGAGGGUGCAAGCGUUGCUCGGAAUUAUUGGGCGUAAAGCGUGAGUAGGUGGUCCUGUUUGUCCCGGGUGAAAGCCCUAGGCUCAACUUAGGAAGAGCCCGGGAAACGGCAGGACUAGAGUUCUAGAGAGGGUUGCGGAAUUCCCGGUGUAGCGGUGAAAUGCGUAGAGAUCGGGAGGAACACCUGAGGCGAAAGCGGCAACCUGGAUAGAUACUGACACUCAAUCACGAAAGCGUGGGGAUCAAACAGG
rnacentral:rRNA from 1 species